rnacentral:rRNA from 1 species
UACGUAGGGGGCAAGCGUUGUCCGGAAUCAUUGGGCGUAAAGCGUGUGUAGGCUGCUCUGCAAGUCGGAUGUUAAAGCCCUGGGCUCAACCUAGGAAGUGCAUUCGAAACUGCAGAGCUCGAGUCCUGGAGAGGAAGGCGGAAUUCUCGGUGUAGAGGUGAAAUUCGUAGAUAUCGAGAGGAACACCGGUGGCGAAGGCGGCCUUCUGGACAGUGACUGACGCUGAGACACGAAAGCGUGGGGAGCAAACAGG